UAGCCGGCAUGGCUCUGGACCAGAGGGGAGCUGCUUUCUAGGUCCUCCUCCCAGGCCUGCACCUCUUUCUGCUCUGCAGCUUCUGGCUCCUUUGUGGCUGCUCAGCUGCAGGAGGGUUGCCAUGGCGACUGGGUACACUUCCUGGGAAACUGAGCUGCGCUCUCUGCCUGGACUGGGAGCAACAGGCCGGAUUGGCCCAGCAGCCGCCCAGGCGUUUCCCCCCCUCCUAAACUGCUUUGGGAGGUUUGCCUGAAAAGUAGAAUAUAAAUGCCAAAUAAGAAUAAUUGGAGAAGAGGACACAGCAGAACACGAGACAGCAGGUGUACAGACUGUAGAGCUCGGUGCAGGAGGCUCCUCAGGCUACCAAGAAAAUGGUAAAGAAGAGGAUUCUUAUGUAUGGGGAGAAUCAACCACCUGUCAAUGCAAAGCUACUAUGCUUUUGCUAAUUUUAUUUAAAAUCUUUUAAUACUUUGCAUAUCACUGAGAGUAGGAGCAGAUUUGAAAUAUUUAAUACACUGUACAAGUAUGUUAGGACAACUAAAUACUUAAUGUCUGCUACAACUGUUGGCCUUUACCUCACUCAGUGUGCCAAGUCCAAGGUCUUGCGCAAAAUGAGACAAUCACAGUUUAAAGCAGCACACAGUAGUUGUAGCUACUUACCGAUUUA